rnacentral:misc_RNA from 1 species
GAUGAAGAACGCAGCGAAAUGCGAUACGUAAUGUGAAUUGCAGAAUUCAGUGAAUCAUCGAGUCUUUGAACGCACAUUGCGCCUCCUGGUAUUCCGGGGGGCAUGCCUGUCCGAGCGUCAUUGCUGCCCUCAAGCACGGCUUGUGUGUUGGGCCUCCGUCCUCCUCCCGGGGGACGGGCCCGAAAGGCAGCGGCGGCACCGCGUCCGGUCCUCGAGCGUAUGGGGCUUCGUCACCCGCUCUUGUAGGCCCGGCCGGCGCUUGCCGACACAUCAAUCUUUUUUCCAGGUUGACCUCGGAUCAGGUAGGGAUACCCGCUGAACUUAAGCAUAUCAAUAAGCGGAGGA